rnacentral:rRNA from 1 species
AUUGAACGCUGGCGGCAGGCCUAACACAUGCAAGUCGAGCGAGCGGCGGACGGGUGAGUAAUGUCUGGGGAACUGCCCGAUAGAGGGGGAUAACUACUGGAAACGGUGACUAAUACCGCAUACUAUCGGAUGGACCCAUAUGGGAUUAGCUAGUAGGUGGGGGAAAGGCUCACCUAGGCGACGAUCUCUAGCUGGUCUGAGAGGAUGACCAGCAACACUGGGACGUAGACACGUCCCAGACUCUUACCGGAGGCAUCAGUGGGGAAUAUUGCACAAUGGGCGCAAGCCUGAUGCAGCCAUGCCGCGUGUAUGAAGAAGGCCUUAGGGUUGUAAAGUACUUUCAGCGGGGAGGCGUUACCCGCAGAAGAAGCACCGGCUAACUCCGUGCCAGCAGCCGCGAUAAUUC